rnacentral:rRNA from 1 species
CCUACGGGUGGCAGCAGUGAGGAAUAUUGGUCAAUGGACGCAAGUCUGAACCAGCCAUGUCGCGUGCAGGAUGACUGCUCUAUGGGUUGUAAACUUCUUUUAUACGAGAAUAAAGUCAGAUACGCGUGUCUUUCUGUAAGUAUCUUACGAAUAAGGAUCGGCUAACUCCGUGCCAGCAGCCGCGGUAAUACGGAGGAUCCGAGCGUUAUCCGGAUUUAUUGGGUUUAAAGGGUGCGUAGGUGGGUUGAUAAGUCAGAGGUGAAAGUCCGCGGCUCAACUGUGAAAUUGCCUCUGAUACUGUCAGGCUAGAGAACAGUUGAGGUAGGCGGAAUGUAUGGUGUAGCGGUGAAAUGCUUAGAGAUCACAAAGAACACCGAUUGCGAAGGCAGCUUACUAAGCUACUUCUGACAUUGAGGCACGAAAGUGUGGGGAUCAAACAGGAUUAGAUACCCUUGUAGUC